GACGAUGUAGCUCAGAUGGUAAGAGCGCCCGCCUCAUAAGUGGGAGGUCGAAGGUUCAAUCCCUUCCAUCGUCACCA
rnacentral:tRNA from 1 species